ensembl:lncRNA
UCACACCACCCCAUCACCUGGAGCAGAACCCAAACUGGAUCCCUGAAUCAGAGGAGUCCUUUAGCACCACAAGUUAAAGAGAGCAGGCGCGUGUGUGUGUGUGUGUGUGUGUGUGUGUGUGUGUGUGUGACCCGGCUGUGAGAUGAGUGGUGGAAUCACUAGUGGAAGGGUGGGGGGGUGGUGGUCACACCCUCUCAAUCCCUCCGACGAGGUAGGGUAACACACACCUCUGAUGUUGAGACAGGCGAGUGUGUGUGUGUGUGUGUGUGUGUGUGUGUGUGUGGACCUAAAGAGGCCAUUGAUCAUGGCUUUAGUGAUGAUGCUGAAAUGGAUGUUAGUGAUUUGUUAUUUGAGAGAUCAUUCUGCUUUGCAAAGGUUAAAAACACUGGCACUCUUGUGCACUGUUGGAAAUGUUAGUACUUAUAUACACACAGACCUGUAAAAAAUGGGGCUAUUUGCAUAGACCUACAGACACACACACACACACACACACACACACACACACACACACAGAAUUCCAGCUGUUGAAAGCAUCAGCACCAGCAAUGCAGAACUGAAUGAGUGAGGUGGAUGAUGAACACACACCCACACACAGCCAUCUUUACACACACACACACACACACACACACACACACUAAGGCUAAGUGAAGGGGGAUGAGGCUGAAAUUAAAGCUGAUUUUUGCACAGCAGAGUAGAGGAGCAGCUGAUCAAGCCUCUUCCCCUCGUGGCAUCUUUGGAAUGGGGAUGCAUUGACCACACACACACACACACACACACACACACACACACACACACACACACACACACAAAGCGUGUGGAUUCUGGGCAUGUUGCGAUGACGCUGAACUGUACAGUAUUCCUUGUGAAAAACAGAAAGGAAAUAGAGAAAGAGGGAAUAUAAAUGGCUAACAGGGGACAGAGCAUUUGGCCCACGCCAACAGUCUGAGCUUCGUGCUGCUUGAAAUGUUCCUGAACGUGUGUGUGUGUGUGUGUGUGUGUGUGUGUGUGUGUAUUUGUGAAAACAGCAAGCAGAUAUGUGAGCAUAAAAAAAAAAGAAAAAAAGUCUGGUAGUGUGUGUGGUUCCAAAGCAUCUAGAACAUUGAGAAGUAGCCCGAGUGGUUAGUUUGAGAGCCAAUGGCAAGCAGUAUUGUAUGUCACAACCACAGUGCACUGCAUUGUGGGGAAAAAAAACAAAGGACCUUGGGAAACUGAGGCCUGUAGAAAUAACCUAUUCACAAGGAAGGGGGGGGUAUGAUGUCCUCUCCAACCUUCUGUGUGUGUGUGUGUGUGUGUGUGUGUGUGUGUGUGUGUUUGACUGGUUCAGUCUUGUGCUCCACUCAUCUGGUCCAUUGGUAAGGAUGCCUCUCCUGAAAAAAAAAAAAGUAAAAAAACGUUUGACUAUUAUACAACACUCACUCCAUCACACACUCUCAAAUGUGUGUCUGGCACUGUGUGGAGUGUGUUUGUGUGUGUGU